AUUGAACGCUGGCGGAAUGCUUUACACAUGCAAGUCGAGCGGCAGCGCGGGGCAACCUGGCGGCGAGCGGCGAACGGGUGAGUAAUGCAUCGGAACAUGUCCAUGUCGUGGGGGAUAACGAAGCGAAAGCUUUGCUAAUACCGCAUAAGAUCUACGGAUGAAAGCAGGGGACCGCAAGACCUCGCGCUACUGGAGCGGCCGAUAUCAGAUUAGCUAGUUGGUGGGGUAAAGGCCUACCAAGGCAACGAUCUGUAGUUGGUCUGAGAGGACGACCAGCCACACUGGGACUGAGACACGGCCCAGACUCCUACGGGAGGCAGCAGUGGGGAAUUUUGGACAAUGGGCGAAAGCCUGAUCCAGCAAUGCCGCGUGCAGGAAGAAGGCCUUCGGGUUGUAAACUGCUUUUGUACGGAACGAAAAGGUCUGCCCUAAUACGGCGGGCCCAUGACGGUACCGUAAGAAUAAGCACCGGCUAACUACGUG
rnacentral:rRNA from 1 species